rnacentral:rRNA from 1 species
GACGUAGGGCGCGAGCGUUGUCCGGAUUUAUUGGGCGUAAAGGGCGCGUAGGCGGCCUGUUAAGUCGAACGUGAAAUCCCCGGGCUCAACCCGGGAACUGCGUCCGAUACUGGAAGGCUUGAAUCCGGGAGAGGGAUGCGGAAUUCCAGGUGUAGCGGUGAAAUGCGUAGAUAUCUGGAGGAACACCGGUGGCGAAGGCGGCAUCCUGGACCGGCAUUGACGCUGAGGCGCGAAAGCCAGGGGAGCAAACGGG